GGGGGUGACAGGCCUCGACAUGGCUUUGUAGCCUUGGAGCAGCAUGCAGAGGGUUCAGGUGGCCUCUAUAAAAACCUGAAAAACAAAUAAACGCAGACUACAAUCCAGUAGCUGAAGCUGAGUCUAUCUUGGCUUCAGACGCGUUAAAUGUUUCAGCUUUAGCUGGAACUGGUUCCUUAGUAAGCGCCUUGGCGUACUAAACGAACCCAACUAACAAGGACUCCUGGAGGGAUUUCUCCUAACUUCAGGUGUAUUAGGGGGAUGCUCCCGAAAAUGUCUCGUUUAUCAGGCACUUCGGGAAAAGAUCAAUGGUAGACUAAGCAUGUAGAUACUCUUUGGUUAGGGUUCAUGGACCCGGGUUCGAAUCCCGGCACCUCCACCA
rnacentral:tmRNA from 1 species